rnacentral:rRNA from 1 species
UUGCUCCUACGGGGCGCAGCAGUGGGGAAUAUUGCACAAUGGGGGAAACCCUGAUGCAGCAACGCCGCGUGAGUGAAGAAGUAUUUCGAUAUGUAAAGCUCUCUCAGCAGGGAAGAAGAUGACGGUACCUGAGUAAGAAGCCCCGGCUAACUACGUGCCAGCAGCCGCGGUAAUACGUAGGGGGCAAGCGUUAUCCGGAUUUACUGGGUGUAAAGGGAGCGUAGACGGCAUAGCAAGUCUGAAGUGAAAGCCCAAGGCUCAACCAUGGGACUGCUUUGGAAACUGUUAAGCUAGUGUGCUGGAGG